rnacentral:rRNA from 1 species
GGGCCCGCACAAGCGGUGGAGCAUGUGGUUUAAUUCGAAGCAACGCGAAGAACCUUACCAAAACUUGACAUCCUUCUGAAUACCCUUUAACCGGGGUAGGCUAGCAAUAGACAGAAGAGACAGGUGGUGCAUGGUUGUCGUCAGCUCGUGUCGUGAGAUGUUGGGUUAAGUCCCGCAACGAGCGCAACCCUUAUCUUUAGUAGCCAUCAUUAAGUUGGGCACUCUAGAGAGACUGCCGUGGAUAACACGGAGGAAGGUGGGGAUGACGUCAAAUCAUCAUGCCCCUUAUGUUUUGGGCAACACACGUGCUACAAUGGCGGUGACAAAGAGAAGCGAAGAGGCAACUCGGAGCAAAACUCAAAAAAGCCGUCUCAGUUCGGAUUGUAGUCUGCAACUCGACUACAUGAAGCUGGAAUCGCUAGUAAUCUCGGAUCAGCAUGCCGAGGUGAAUACGUUCCCGGGCCUU